CCACAGAGCUGUGCAGGCACAGGCCCAGGAGCUGCUUGGUUUGCUGGCGUGGGGCGUGGCAUUUGAAGGCUAGUUCAUGUCCUGGCUGUGCUGUACAGAUGUUUCUUUGUGACUGCAGGAUGUGGGAACCUUGGCUUGAAGGUGUCCAGGGCAAGCCUGCAAUGCCAGUGGGCUGGAAUUUUUCAUCCUAACACAAAACAUAACACAAAAAUGCCAAUUUACACUGACUGUUAGAUGUCCUGCUGACUUCUUCAGGACUUCUGCAAGGUCAACACUAACAGACUGCCUUCUUCAGCUGGAAAUCCUGUUGGGAAAUUUACCAUGAGAAGGGAAGAGCUCAACCUCCACAGGUGGGAUCCCACUGUGAAUCCAAGUGUGUCCAAUCAAGUUUUUCUGGACUUUAUGUGCUCAUGUUCUACCAGGCAGAGCAAGGAGAUGGGAACCAGCACUGGAAGAAUAUUCUGAAUAUGAGGCACCAUUUUUGGAGAGGAACAGUACAAUAUCAACAUUUGCCAUAGAAAUUGUCUUUUUUUCCCUGCUUUUAAAAAAUAUUUCAUUUAAAAAUGAGGCUUUACUUACCCCUUACAGUAUACAUUCAAAAUAUGUUUUUCUCAGAAUUGCUCUAAAUAAUAAAAUGGAUUUGGCAGUCAUGGAGAUCUGAAAACUUGCUCUAUCUCCUGAUUUAUAUAACCAUUAUGUGACAGUAUCACCAACCUGUUUUAGAAGAUCUGCCUGAUUUUAAGAACAAACGUUUUGAUUAAAUGUAUUUACAAAAUCUGGGUGGCCUGGAAGCUCUGUGUUUACACCAUAAUGAAUUGAUUUUUCAAAUACUCUGCAAGUGAAUCAAAUUAAUGCAAAUCUAUGAUAGGAUAUUCCCUACCAAAAAAACCCAAACCCUGAAUCAAUGCUUAAUCUCUUUAAUUCCUAGGCUUCUUGCUCUUGCAGUGCUUGUUAGGCUAUUAAUACCAGUCCAUGCAAUGCUGCCCACAGAUUUUUUGACUGCCAUUCCUAAAUACUGGAAACUUGAAGGUGAAUUCUGAUAAUAAAUGUCUUACAGAAACGUAUUUGUGCACAAUGUAGUACAGACCUUUGCUUAUUCUUCAAGGUUAUGAAGUUUGCAACACAGCACAAGUUCCCUUGCACAGAAGCAUGAUUUCAUCCUGGAAUGUGGGGAAAAAUGCUCAUCUCAGAAUUUUUUGGCAAGUACAUCAGUCUGUGUCUUGAUGCAUGACUGGACCUGGGCCAAAGAUUUGAGUGUCAACAGCACCUCCUCGUGUUGAAAACUUACCUGUUUAAACAUUCCUGACUGCCUUACUGACACACAUUUAAAACACUGUAUUUUCUGUGCAAUAAAGUAUUAAAAAUACUUCUCUGUUCACAGAAGAGCCCAUUUCUGUGGAUUAUUAGUAAAAAUAUGUGAACAUUGCUAAUGAAAAUGUUAAAGACAAAUGGUAUUUAUGUCAAGAAAUGUUACCACAUGCUUUUCAAGCAAUGUAUUCCAUUAAUCAGCACUUCCUGCUCCUUGACACUCAGUCUGCUUUGCUCCAGCUGGUUUGGAUGCUGACAUAUGUGCAUGGUUUGUUACAUGCCAGUCUAGGUUACAGGUGCUCUUGUAAAAAGUUGGAAAAAAACCCCCAACGUUGGCUUUACUUCAUGUAUGACGGUGUGUGCCUUCAUUGAAAAUAGUCAAAAUUAAUUUUGUCUAUGGCAAAGACACACUGGUAUGUGCCAACAAUUUUCUUAUGACAUGUGAUUCUGCCAGAAUUUUCUGCUCAAUAAAUGCAGAACAUGUGGUAAUUAAAAACCUGUUCUUUUUUUCUGGAUCGAAAGUCUGUAUUUUAUAUUUAAAAAAAAAUCAAAUUUUUAUUACUGAGUGACUUUAGGGAAACAAAAUUGUAAUCUAGUUAAACUAUUUUUUUGGCUGUGUUUUUCUCCAUUUACCCAUGCUGUUAGGCAAAAUUCUUCAAGGCAAACGUGUAUGGAAGAAGGUGGUUUGUGCUUCCCAAUGUUAGAUUAUUACAACUAAUUUAACAACGAUGAGCUCUGUGGAGGAGGGCUGAGUAGCUGUCUGGGUAUUUUGCUGCCCACAGCAUCUUUUAGCCAGUUUGGGAUGUGCCAGGCUAGAUGGGGAAACACCUUGAGAGGUGGGAAACUGAUUGACUGUUGGCCUUAAGGCAGCACUUACAGGGUCAUACUGUACUUGAGACUGGCUGUGAGUGGAGAUCCUGAGAGAUCUGUCCUGGGGCCCAUCCUAUUAAAUGGCUUUACCAAUGCCAUUGCCCUUGUCAAGUUUGUGGAUCACAGCAACUUCCAGGAUGCUAUCUAAAUUCUCAAAAAGCAGAGUGACCAUCUAAAAUGAGCUUUGCACACUGCAGGAAUGAGCCAGCAGGAAUUUCAACAAGAGCAAACACAAAGUACUAUACCAGAGAUGGGAUAACCCUCUGGAAUGCCACUGACUGGCUGAGGAUCAGCUCUGUGGAAAAGGACUUGGGCAUACUGAUGCACAGGAAGCUAAACAGGAACCAGCCUGGAAAAGAGACACAUGAUGAGUCAAUGAAGCAGAUUGCUGUGAAGAUUUGCAGGCUCCAUCCUUUGAAGUUUGAAGAACA